rnacentral:lncRNA from 1 species
UGUGGCACAUUAUUUCUAUUACUUUUAGUUUACCUCCACCGACCUCGAUUACUAAUCUGUUUGGGAAUUGGCUCAAUGGGUCAGGGAAAAAGAUCAAGCCUCAUAUUCGAAUGUGAGUUUUGGCUUUCUUUUGGCUAUCCGGAACUACAUAAAUAAUAUUGUUUUUGAUAAAACCAUAGUUUCAUAUUGUUUGCAGGUUAGAUUUUGUUUAGAGAAACGGAAAAGAGCAUAAACUUAACAUAAGGUGCCAAGCGUGUAGGCGGCCACUACUAUGCACCUUUGAUAUCCGUCUAUGCCACCUUGCAUUCAGCUAUGCUACCUGGUUGUGCAAGCAUACAUGCACCUUAUCUUCAAGGCCACACAUU